UACGGGGGGGGCAAGCGUUGUUCGGAAUUACUGGGCGUAAAGGGCUCGUAGGCGGCCAACUAAGUCAGACGUGAAAUCCCUCGGCUUAACCGGGGAACUGCGUCUGAUACUGGAUGGCUUGAGGUUGGGAGAGGGAUGCGGAAUUUCAGGUGUAGCGGUGAAAUGCGUAGAUAUCUGGAGGAACACCGGUGGCGAAGGCGGCAUCCUGGACCAAUUCUGACGCUGAGGAGCGAAAGCCAGGGGAGCAAACGGG
rnacentral:rRNA from 1 species